CCUACGGGAGGCAGCAGUGAGGAAUAUUGGUCAAUGGGCGCUAGCCUGAACCAGCCAAGCAGCGUGAAGGAAGAAUGUCCUAUGGGUUGUAAACUUCUUUUAUAUGGGAAUAAAGUGCAGUAUGUAUACUGCUUUGCAUGUACCUUAUGAAUAAGGAUCGGCUAACUCCGUGCCAGCAGCCGCGGUAAUACGGAGGAUCCGAGCGUUAUCCGGAUUUAUUGGGUUUAAAGGGUGCGUAGGCGGGUUGUUAAGUUAGUUGUGAAAGUUCGCGGCUCAACCGUAAAAUUGCAGUUGAUACUGGCAGCCUUGAGUGCAGUAGCGGAAGGCGGAAUGCGUGGUGUAGCGGUGAAAUGCUUAGAUAUCACGAAGAACACCGAUUGCGAAGGCAGCCUGCUGGGCUGUAACUGACGCUGAGGCUCGAAAGUGUGGGUAUCAAACAGGAUUAGAUACCCUUGUAGUC
rnacentral:rRNA from 1 species